rnacentral:rRNA from 1 species
CAUCCAGAGAAUUUAGCAGAGAUGCUUUAGUGCCUUCGGGAACUCUGAGACAGGUGCUGCAUGGCUGUCGUCAGCUCGUGUUGUGAAAUGUUGGGUUAAGUCCCGCAACGAGCGCAACCCUUAUCCUUUGUUGCCAGCACGUAAUGGUGGGAACUCAAAGGAGACUGCCGGUGAUAAACCGGAGGAAGGUGGGGAUGACGUCAAGUCAUCAUGGCCCUUACGAGUAGGGCUACACACGUGCUACAAUGGCGCAUACAAAGAGAAGCGACCUCGCGAGAGCAAGCGGACCUCAUAAAGUGCGUCGUAGUCCGGAUUGGAGUCUGCAACUCGACUCCAUGAAGUCGGAAUCGCUAGUAAUCGUAAAUCAGAAUGUUACGGUGAAUACGUUCCCGGGCCUUGUACACACCGCCCGUCACACCAUGGGAGUGGGUUGCAAAAGAAGUAGAUAGCUUAACCUUCGGGAGGGCGUUUACCACUUUGUGAUUCAUGACUGGGGUGAAGUCGUAACAAGGUAGGCGUAGUGCU